CUUGUCGGGUAAGUUCCGACCUGCACGAAUGGCGUAAUGAUGGCCAGGCUGUCUCCACCCGAGACUCAGUGAAAUUGAACUCGCUGUGAAGAUGCAGUGUACCCGCGGCAAGACGGAAAGACCCCGUGAACCUUUACUAUAGCUUGACACUGAACAUUGAGCCUUGAUGUGUAGGAUAGGUGGGAGGCUUUGAAGUGUGGACGCCAGUCUGCAUGGAGCCGACCUUGAAAUACCACCCUUUAAUGUUUGAUGUUCUAACGUUGACCCGUAAUCCGGGUUGCGGACAGUGUCUGGUGGGUAGUUUGACUGGGGCGGUCUCCUCCUAAAGAGUAACGGAGGAGCACGAAGGUUGGCUAAUCCUGGUCGGACAUCAGGAGGUUAGUGCAAUGGCAUAAGCCAGCUUGACUGCGAGCGUGACGGCGCGAGCAGGUGCGAAAGCAGGUCAUAGUGAUCCGGUGGUUCUGAAUGGAAGGGCCAUCGCUCAACGGAUAAAAGGUACUCCGGGGAUAACAGGCUGAUACCGCCCAAGAGUUCAUAUCGACGGCGGUGUUUGGCACCUCGAUGUCGGC
rnacentral:rRNA from 1 species